CUUUCUGAGACAAAGGAUCCACUCCGCGCCUAACCACACCUAAAGAAAUGCUUUGAAGGAAUUGCCAAGCUCACUUUUAAUCAUGAGAAAGAAAUUACCCACAUGGAGUCAGCAGAAAAUGAAAAAGUAGAGCUCGUGCUGCGAAUAAUUCCAGCAAGUGCCAAGGGGCUAGUUGAGAAAUGGCUUCAUGAGG
rfam:Alligator mississippiensis ScZkoYb_5, whole genome shotgun sequence.